rnacentral:rRNA from 1 species
CACUCUAGAGAGACUGCCAGGGAUAACCUGGAGGAAGGUGGGGAUGACGUCAAAUCAUCAUGCCCCUUAUGCUUAGGGCUACACACGUGCUACAAUGGGUAGUACAGAGGGUUGCCAAGCCGUAAGGUGGAGCUAAUCCCUUAAAGCUACUCUCAGUUCGGAUUGUAGGCUGAAACUCGCCUACAUGAAGCUGGAGUUACUAGUAAUCGCAGAUCAGAAGGCUGCGGUGAAUGCGUUCCCGGGUCUUGUACACACCGCCCGUCACACCACGGGAGUUGGAGACGCCCGAAGCCGAUUAUCUAACCUUUUGGAAGAAGUCGUCGAAGGUGGAAUCAAUAACUGGGGUGAAGUCGUAACAAGGUAGCCGUAUCGGAAGGUGCGGCUGGAUCACCUCCUUUCUAAGGAGA